UGCCGGAAAGUGUUCCAACAUGCUCAAAGGAGUGUUGAUGUCCAGUAUGCGAGCCCUAGGUAUGGUUUGUUCAUGGAGAAGCAGAUUCAUAUCUUCAAGAAGGGUUCUUUGGCGAGGGGAAGUUGGCUCCCGUCUCCUUUGGGCCUUCGGGUGGGUUCGUUUUCUGCUCAAAAAUCUAUGUGGAUGGCAUAAAGGAGUUAGAUGAAUGAGCGAAAAUGUUGUCUGUGUCUUGUUAUGGUUUUGCUGUUGUGUGUGAUAGAAAUUAGCUUGUUUUUUAAAGCAAGAGUAGAUCUUCACCAUCUUUCUCAGCUAGCAUUAUUGACGGAUUUACAUUAGAGCCAAGGGGAU
rnacentral:misc_RNA from 1 species